UCGGAUUCACAUCGUGCUGAGCAUCAGGUAACAGAGGGUUUGAUCAUGGCUCAGAUUGAACGCUGGCGGGAUGCUUUACACAUACAGUCGAACGGCAGCACGGACUUCGGUCUGGUGGCGAGUGGCGAACGGGUGAGUAAUGUAUCGGAACGUGCCUAGUAGCGGGGAUAACUGCACUUGAAAGCGUAGCUAAUACCUUACGCCCUUCGGGGGAAAGCAGGGGGACCUUCGGGCCUCGCACUAUUAGAGCGGCCGAUAUCGGAUUAGCUAGUUGGUGGGGUAACGGCUCACCAAGGCGACGAUCCGUAGCUGGUUUGAGAGGACGACCAGCCACACUGCCAGGACUGAGACACGGCCCAGACUCCUACAGGAGGCAGCAGUGGGGAAUUUUGGACAAUGGGGAAGCCUGAUCCAGCCAUCCCGCGUGUGCGAUGAAGGCCUUCCGGGUUGUAAGCACUUUUGGCAGGAAAGAAACGGCACGAGGAUAAUACCCGUGCAACUGACGGUACCCACCUGCAGAAUAAGCACCGGCUAACUACGUGCCAGCAGCCGCGGUAAUACGUAAAGUGCAAGCGUUAAUCGGAAUUACUGGGCGUAAAGCGUGCGCAGGCGGUUCGGAAAGAAAGAUGUGAAAUCCCAGAGCUUAACUUUGGAACUGCAUUUUUAACUACCGAGCUAGAGUGUGUCCAGAGGGGAGGUGGAAUUCCGCGACAGUGAAAUGCGUAGAUAUGCGGAGGAACACCGAUGGCGAAGGCAUCCUCCUGGGAUAACACUGACGCUCAUGCACGAAAGCGUGGGGAGCAAACAGGAUUAGAUACCCUGGUAGUCCACGCCCUAAACGAUGUCAACUAGCUGUUGGGGCCUUCGGGCCUUGGUAAGCGCAAUAACGCGUGAAGUUGACCGCCUGGGAAGUACGGUCGCAAGAUUAAAACUCAAAGGAAUUGACGGGGACCCGCACAAGCGGUGGAUGAUGUGGAUUAAUUCGAUGCAACGCGAAAAACCUUACCUACCCUUGACAUGUCUGGAAUCCCGAAGAGAUUUGGGAGUGCUCGCAAGAGAACCGGAACACAGGUGCUGCAUGGCUGUCGUCAGCUCGUGUCGUGAGAUGUUGGGUUAAGUCCCGCAACGAGCGCAACCCUUGUCAUUAGUUGCUACGAAGGGCACUCUAAUGAGACUGCCAGUGACAAACCGGGGAAGGUGGGGAUGACGUCAAGUCCUCAUGGCCCAUAUGGGUAGGGCUUCACACGUCAUACAAUGGUCGGGACAGAGGGUCGCCAACCCGCGAGGGGGAGCCAAUCCCGAACCGAUCGUAGUCCGGAUCGCAGUCUGCAACUCGACUGCGUGAAGUCGGAAUCGCUAGUAAUCGCGGAUCAGCAUGUCGCGGUGAAUACGUUCAGGUCUUGUACACACCACCCGUCACACCAUGGGAGUGGGUUUUACCAGAAGUAGUUAGCCUAACCGUAAGGAGGGCGAUUACCUGACCGGGAUUCAUGACUGGGGUGAAGUCGUAACAGGUAA
rnacentral:rRNA from 1 species